rnacentral:rRNA from 1 species
GACGAACGCUGGCGGCGUGCUUAACACAUGCAAGUCGAACGGAAAGGCCCUGCUUUUGUGGGGUGCUCGAGUGGCGAACGGGUGAGUAAACAGUGAGUAACCUGCCCUUGACUUUGGGAUAACUUCAGGAAACUGGGGCUAAUACCGGAUAGGAGCUCCUGAUGCAUGGUGGGGGUUGGAAAGUUUCGGCGGUUGGGGAUGGACUCGCGGCUUAUCAGCUUGUUGGUGGGGUAGUGGCUUACCAAGGCUUUGACGGGUAGCCGGCCUGAGAGGGUGACCGGCCACAUUGGGACUGAGAUACGGCCCAGACUCCUACGGGAGGCAGCAGUGAGGAAUAUUGCACAAUGGGCGGAAGCCUGAUGCAGCAACGCCGCGUGCGGGAUGACGGCCUUCGGGUUGUAAACCGCUUUCGCCUGUGACGAAGCGUGAGUGACGGUAAUGGGUAAAGAAGCACCGGCUAACUACGUG